rnacentral:rRNA from 1 species
UGAAAGUAGAGGGACCCGGCAAGGAGCUAGCCGAGGUGCUGCAUGGUUGUCGUCAGCUCGUGUCGUGAGAUGUUGGGUUAAGUCCCGCAACGAGCGCAACCCCCUGUCCUGUGUUGCUACUCCGCAAGGAGAGGACUCUCAGGAGACUGCCGUGGAUAACACGGAGGAAGGUGGGAUGACGUCAAAUCAUCAUGGCCUUUAUGUCCAGGGCUACACACGUGAUACAAUGGUACAGACAGAGGGCUGCAAGACCGUAAGGUGGAGCCAAUCCCUAAACUGUAUCCCAGUUCAGAUCGAGGGCUGCAAUUCGCCCUCGUGAAGUUGGAAUCGCUAGUAAUCGCAGAUCAGCAGGCUGCGGUGAAUACGUUCCCGGGCCUU